GGGGUCUGGAUGCAGCCAGCUCACUGUGAGAGCCUCGGCUUCCGCCGAGCAGCCCGGGCUUUGGAAGUGGGACGUUGGGUUUUGCUGGUGUUUGACAGGUGUCGUGGCUCAGAGUCUGAAUAUUGCCACUUCCUCCCCCCAUCUUUUCUUAUUUCUUUAUUCUGACACGUUUUUAGAGAACAAAGUGCAUUUCGGGUUCAGGCGUGUUGUCAGAAAUUGACCAGAUGAAUGAAAGAAUAAAAGUAAUAGCUCUGACAGCCACGUUACAAAGCGGAAUGGCUCUUGUGCUGCUGGGGGCAAUUGACAGGAACGGUAUCAGUGGUGUGAAAAAGCUACGCUGUUUUCACAAAUGAUUAAUAUUGGAUGAAUUUAUUUUGGGUAGAGUGAGGAAGUAGUGCCCACUAGGAGUUUCCAACAAAUACUGGAGCCUUACCAAAAACUUAAUCCCGGUGAAGGAAAUGAGGUGGUCAAAUUGUGUUUCACCCCUUCAUCUCUACACACAAACUAGGACCUGUGGGGUUUUGGGGUGUUUUUUUUUCAGUAAAAGCAUAAAAUACCUGAUAAACUGGUGUAAGUUAAUGAAGCAGUGCUAUCAGAAUAAGGGACUACAUUGGCAUUCUCCCAGGCUCCAAAAAUAAACAGUUUUGUUUGCUUUAAAAACUUGUUCCCUGGACAGAGCGAUAUAAAUACAGAUUUUUCUUAGUUUGGCAUCCGCAGUAAUUGAAGAGCUGAAAAACUACAACCUGCAAUAAUUUGUUGGGUUUCUCUUUAGAAAUAAUGGGGCUAAUUGCAAUUUUUUUCCGGCUUGCUUUUAUUGAGAUCCAGGUUGCUGAAGAGAAGAUUUCAGUUACUCAUUUGAAGCAGGAAUGGUAAAUCACACCCAAAAAAAAGCCCUUCAGAGUUGCCUUUUGGCAUCUAAGGCAUCAUCCUGCCAGCUGCCCUAUAGUCUGUAGCGUCUUGCAAGAAAGCCAGGGUGGGCACUACUCACAUUGCUCCAAUAUGAAAGGAAGAAAAGUAAGACCAGCAAGGUUAUCAUGUCAGGAGAAAAAGGAAGAAGUCUGAUUUGGAAGCAUCUGAAGCCUUCUCCACCCUGACUGGCAAGUUCAGAAAACUCUAAGGAUUUGUUGACUAAUAUUUCCUUUCCUGUUGGAAUCUGCUGAGCUCUGCUAUUGCAAAUGCUGCUGCUUUAACUGCGCUUGGAUGAGAAUAAACCAAAUCCACUCUAUUGUUCUUCUGUUGCUCUUUAUUUUACACAUACUGCGUUUUGCUGCUCUUCUGAGUGAUUGGCAGCGUGCAUUAAAAUGUAUGAAUACGAACAUGCAUUUUGUUUGCCACAGACUAUUUCUAUUGAAACCCAAGACUCUUACCUUGGCAUAAGGGAUUCAUUUCAGCUAAUCAUUGGGAAUAAUAAACGACUUUUGUAAGUGAUCUCUGUAUUUGAAUUGAUAGCAAGUGCAGAGAAUUUAAGGUCUGUCAUUAAGUAAGAGGUUAGAAUUCUUGCAAGGUUCUGCAACCCUCAGCAGUGCUCACAUGCUGAUUUGUGCUUCUGAAUGCUGCACAAAUGAGGGAUGUGCAUCAGAUUCUGGGCAAUUUGGCAAAUAAAAUGAAGAGCAGAGCAUUUACCAUUGAAUGGUAGAGACAUAAAUAUAUAUAUAUAUAUAUCUUUAAAGAACUGAGAGGGGUGGGAAUUUCCAGGGUAGAUGAUUGUCUUUUUGUAGUUGUAUCUUCUUUAACAGCAAUAUUCUAACGGAAUUGAGACAGGAAUCGAGCUCAUGAAUUUGGGCACAAUUGCUUCUGGAGGGUGAAAGUCUAUAAGCAAUCAUCCUGCUCUGCUGCUACAACCUACUACAGGGGCUUCACGCGCACGCUCCCAGAGACAGCGGCCAAGGUUUCCACAGAUGCUGCUACAGAAGUUAUUAGAAAGAGCCAAACCACAAAACCCAAAGUAAAAGGAGCUCUGGCAACCAGGUCUGCUCAAGGUGCAUACUGUACAUGUAGACAAGGUGGGUCCCAGAAGCCUGAUGCCCCUCUUUCACCCUUGUAAAUGCAGAGUAAUUCCCCCAAAGCCCAAGAAUUUGAGGUUUCAAAGCCCAGAUGAAAUGAGGGUGUGGCAAGAGGAGCCUGAUUCCUCCCUAUUGCAUGCACAUCUCAAGCAGUCAGCAGUCUCUGACCCUGCAGGUACCCUGGUGACACAAACUUUACUUUCAGCUACAUCUUCCAGGGAGCAUCGGUGGGGUGUAUCAUGUUGAAGGGAACACCUGCUAAAAAGACUUGUUCUUUUGAGCAUUAUUGCGAUGAUUUGGUAGAUAGUUUCACACAAAGACCUCCGAGCCUGACUUCCUUACUGCACCAUAGCUGUUUACAAAAUAAGGUUGUUUAGUUAGUUACUGACCUCGGGGAAUACCUCUAAAAACCUGCAAAUACUCACUUACAUGUGAAUAAAAGCAGUGAAUUUCCUUCAGCUGUGUUUGCUUUCUGAAAACAUUCCAGUCAAUUAGAUUAGUGGCUAGAAAUGUUUAUGGAAAGAAUUUUAAGCCCAUUUUAGAGGGUAUUCAUGGAAAGCAAAAUUUUAUCUCAAAAACACAGUCAUCUUACCUACCGGUGUUAAUUUAUGUUCAUCGACUCAGGGAAUGGAAACCAGUGGUAGAUGUCUGUUUUGUUCAGGUCCUGUGCCUCUCCUGUUUAUCCAGUCUUUUUCUGCUUUGC